ACGAAAAGAGCCAAAGCAAAAGAACAAAAAAGGAAUGGAACAAGUGAACGAGAAGAAGGAACAAACCAACCAUUUCCUUUCAUUUCUUCUUUCUCUUUUCCUUUGGCUUAUUUCACGCUUCCUUCAUCCCUCAUCCAUUGUAAAUAAGCCAAAGAGAAAAGGUAAGAAGAUUAUGAAAGUAAAUAGCUGGUUUGUGUUGUGUUCUUUGUUCGUGCCUUUGUUAUAAUUGAAUGGCAAGUGAAGUGCGCGCAUUCAAUUAAAACAAAUGA
rnacentral:ribozyme from 1 species